AGAGUUUGAUCCUGGCUCAGGACGAACGCUGGCGGCGUGCUUAACACAUGCAAGUCGAACGGAGGUUACGAAGGAAGUUUUCGGACUAAAUUGUAAUGCUUAGUGGCGGACGGGUGAGUAACGCGUGAGCAACCUGCCCUUCGGAGGGGGAUAGCGUCUGGAAACGGACGGUAAUACCGCAUAACGUAUUUUUUUCGCAUGGAAGAGAUACCAAAGCUGAGGCGCCGAAGGAUGGGCUCGCGUUGGAUUAGAUAGUUGGUGGGGUAACGGCCUACCAAGUCGACGAUUCAUAGCCGGACUGAGAGGUUGGACGGCCACAUUGGGACUGAGACACGGCCCAGACUCCUACGGGAGGCAGCAGUGGGGAAUAUUGCACAAUGGGGGGAACCCUGAUGCAGCAACGCCGCGUGAAGGAAGACGGUUUUCGGAUUGUAAACUUCUGUUCUUAGUGAAGAAGGAAAUGACGGUAGCUAAGGAGCAAGCCACGGCUAACUACGUGCCAGCAGCCGCGGUAAUACGUAGGUGGCAAGCGUUGUCCGGAAUUACUGGGUGUAAAGGGAGCGCAGGCGGGUGAUCAAGUCAGCUGUGAAAGGCGCAGGCUUAACCUGCGGACUGCAGUUGAAACUAAUCAUCUUGAGUGAAGUAGAGGUUGGCGGAAUUCCGAGUGUAGCGGUGAAAUGCGUAGAUAUUCGGAGGAACACCGGUGGCGAAGGCGGCCAACUGGGCUUUAACUGACGCUGAGGCUCGAAAGUGUGGGGAGCAAACAGGAUUAGAUACCCUGGUAGUCCACACCGUAAACG
rnacentral:rRNA from 1 species